AUUCUCUGCAAGACUUUCUUCCUCUAAAAUUUUAACUGCUUCUAUAGCGACUCUGUUACCAAGCGGACUUCCACCGAAAGUGCUACCGUGGGAUCCAGUUUCCAGGCACAUUAUUAUCUAAGGAAAUAUCAGGUUAAAUAAGAAUUCGGUCUUAAAAGGAUCAAUAACGUGCUGCUAUUGUUUCCGCUGCAGUUAUGUUUACCUGUUCGUCCGCUAAAAUACCGGAAACAGGAUACAAUCCGCCAGACAAUGCCUUUCCUAGCACGAGAAUAUCCGGCCGUUGAUUUUCAUGAUCUACCGCCAAUCGUUUGCCCGUUCUGCAUAAACCAGUUUGUACUUCGUCAGCGAUCCAUAACACAUUGUAUUUGUUGCACAGGUCUCGUACACCUUUCAAGUAGCCAUCCUACAUCGAAAUGAAAGUUUAGGAUUUGGAAAGACGAGAAAUGGAACUCCAAUUACCGAAACUAUUCUUCACAGAUCUAUACUACCCAAAAUAGGUAUUAUAUCUGUCUGUUCUAUCUAUUCGACCAUUUGUCUAUCCAAGUUUGACGAAAGAUGAAAAUAACAUACAUUCGGUAUUAUGACACCCGCUUCUCCUUGGAUCGGUUCCAUCAUGUACGCGCAAACAGUUGGAUCCUGCUUAAAUUUUUCUUCUAAAGCGUUGAGAUGCAGACAGCGCGGCUAUAGAACGUCCCCAGAAGUUCCCUUUUGCGAAGACCACGGUUGCUUGUUCCGGAGGUAUCUUCUUUAUUCUGUAAGCCCAACGCCUGGCAACCUUAAUGGCAGUAUCACCUGCUUCGACUCCUGUAAUACAACACAUAGACGCGUCUACGUAUUUUACGCUUCCAACUUCUGAUUUUCCAUUGACAAGUAUACGCAAGUAUCCGAACACAGGGUUACUUUUGAGGAAACACGUUUUGAUAUAUUUGUUACAUAUUGAUAUAAUUGUUACAUAUUUUAAUAAGUAGCUCGCUUAAGUGUAUACUCUGUUAUAUACUCUAUAAAAAGAUAGAAAAUAUUGCUUCUAA